rnacentral:snoRNA from 1 species
AGUACCUCAAUCAAUUUUUUUUUAAGUCACUUUGGCAUUCAUAUGGAGCAAAGCGUCCUUCAAGCAAACUGGAUGUUUGUCUUGUCUCAUGUCUGAGGAAAUAACA